rnacentral:rRNA from 1 species
UACGUAGGGGGCAAGCGUUGUCCGGAAUCAUUGGGCGUAAAGCGCGUGCAGGCGGCUCGGUAAGUCCGCUCUGAAAGCCCGGAGCUCAACUCCGGGACUGCCUUGGAUACGGGAUCGCUUGAGGAUUGGAGAGGCAAGGGGAAUUCCACGUGUAGCGGUGAAAUGCGUAGAUAUGUGGAGGAACACCUGUGGCGAAGGCGCCUUGCUGGCCAAUUUCUGACGCUGAGGCGCGAAAGCGUGGGGAGCAAACAGG